UUGAGCGGAAUGCGGGGAAACUCGCCCGUUCCGUUCUUAGGGGGCGGCGACGUAGCAAUGCGUCGCUGCUACCCGAC
rfam:Burkholderia udeis isolate LMG 27134 genome assembly, contig: contig000015